GUGAAAUCAGAGAUGAAAGCUGCGUGACAGUUGAGUUAAACUCACCGAGGAAGCAGACACGGCUCCACAGCUUCAUGGUGGUGAUGAAUUUACUUUUCUCUCUCUCUCCUACUCACUGAGAUUUUAGCCACUUAAAGUUGACGUAUGACCAUCAGCAGGACUGGAUUCUCCCCAAAACUGUCAUGGUCCGCGGCCCGGCGUCCGGGGUGCUGCUGGGAUGUCCACGCCCACGAGCGUGGCUGCUAACCCCACACCUGCAUCCCAUCCCAGGUGAUCAUCAGGUGGACUAUUUAAUCCUUCCCUACCUGCUGCUCCACGCCAGUCCGUAGUCGCCUCUCAGCGAUCACAACUCGGCGUGUUUUUGUUUACGAGCCACCUGCCUGUCCACCUGUCCGCCUGAGAUUUGGUUCACCAUCAGCUUCGCCGUCUCGACCCCUUUUGGAGCUCCACCCCCCUCUGGUUCACUCGGCCCGGCUAUCACC
ensembl:lncRNA